GGUUAAGCGACUAAGCGUACACGGUGGAUGCCCUGGCAGUCAGAGGCGAUGAAGGGCGUGCUAAUCUGCGAUAAGCGCCGGUAAGGUGAUAUGAACCGUUAUAACCGGCGAUACCCGAAUGGGGAAACCCAGUGUGAUUCGUCACACUAUCAUUAACUGAAUCCAUAGGUUAAUGAGGCGAACCGGGGGAACUGAAACAUCUAAGUACCCCGAGGAAAAGAAAUCAACCGAGAUUCCCCCAGUAGCGGCGAGCGAACGGGGAGGAGCCCAGAGCCUGAAUCAGCAUGUGUGUUAGUGGAAGCGUCUGGAAAGGCGCGCGAUACAGGGUGACAGCCCCGUACACAAAAGCGCAUGUGCUGUGAGCUCGAUGAGUAGGGCGGGACACGUGGUAUCCUGUCUGAAUAUGGGGGGACCAUCCUCCAAGGCUAAAUACUCCUGACUGACCGAUAGUGAACCAGUACCGUGAGGG
rnacentral:rRNA from 3 species